rnacentral:misc_RNA from 1 species
UUACAAACGUGUUUAUAUAACUGCAUACCAUCAUUAAUUAGAACUAAAACAGAUGUCCACAUUAUUUUCAAAUCAACUGUGGUCAUUUUAACAUCUUUGAGUUGUAUUCACAUAUAUACAAGUAACAAAGAGAGAUUUUUCUUAUGCAUCAAUUAAUCAGCGAUCCCCCUAUAUUUAACAGUACAUCAGGUCCUCUAUCGCCAGAACUUGAGAAAUCCUCCGGCAAUGGUAUAUUUAGCUCUGAACAAACAAGCUGAAUGAUUUCUCUUGUCAAACCCCCAAACGACAUUUUGUUCAGCGUCACUGCAAUGGCAAACCUGUUUUUGAUAUCACAAAAACCUGUGGAUCCCCCCAUGCCGGAGUGCCCAAAUCCACUAAAGGAUCCAUCAUUUAAAAUAGCCCUCCUAAAUCCGAGUCCAAAUUUUCCAUUUGGUAUGGCCAUAUUCUCAUAGUCCCCCACGCCCAAGAAUGCAUCAUGAAUUUUAGGGUUAGUAAAAAUCCUCCCAACAUUAUUUUUUUUAGAACCAUCAUCGCUUGCAAAGUUGUCAGCUGCACUGGCAUUACUGCUGCUGCUAUCGGUGUCAACAGCAAGCCUAGUGCUACUACUACUUUUACCCUUUUGCCUUUUAGAGGUCUUCUCAGAAGGAAACUUGGGAAUGUGAGGGUGGCUACCAAGUGGUGGCUUGGAGAAAGAGGAAUGUGGCAGUGGGAUUGUGCCUCCAUCAACAAGGGCUGCAUAAUAGCGUGCAAGAGCGCGGGCUGAGCAAUGUCCAUUAGCAGCAGGUAUGAUUGCACGGCGAACAUUCAGCAUGUUGAAUAAAGCAGGCAAGGUAGUUACUAAUUGAGCAAUGCUGCUUGGCUGGAAGGUGGAUGGUAGGUCAGGACGAUUACUCAUCUCCAAAAGAUUGCUCAGAUCAUUCAAAUCUAUUGUCAAAUUUGCAAGUCGAGAUUCCACACCUGGAGGAAUUCCAACAUAUAGCUCUCCUUCAAUAUUGAGAGGCUGAAUGAUUGCUUCUUCAAGAAUCUCCUGAAAUUUCUUGCCAGACACAUGCUCCAUUAUUCCACCGCAUAGCCAACCAAAAGACAAAUAAUGAUACAGCUGCUCCUGGCCAGGUGUUGUCUCAGGUACUGACAUACAAAUUUGAUUCAUACAUUCUUCCCAGUCACACAUUAGCAAAGGAUUUUCUCCUCUAAGAAUGGCCAAGGCAUUGUGCAAACCAGAUGUAUGGUUUAGAACAUGACAGACCUUUAUAUCAUCUUUGCCAUUUGUUCCAAUUUCUGGCCACACAUUGGCAAUGUUUUGGUCAAGCUUGACUUUUCCAUUGUCGAUAAGCCAAUGUAGCAUUCCUGCCGUGAUUCCCUUUGUUACAGAAAACACUGGAAAAAGGCUAUCAGGCUGAACUGGGCGAGGAUCAUAUCUACCCAGUACUCCCGCGGCAGUAUCAAUAAUAACCUUGCCAUCUUUGUAGGCACAUACCUGGAUUCCAAGUAUUUUUUCUUCAUUUCCCAGCUCAACUAAGAGCUUCCUCAACUUUGUCUCCACAUCAGAAUGAGAUGGUGUAUCGUAGAUCCAUUGUGCAUUAACUGCUGGUCCCUUAUUGAGGUUUCCUUGUAGAGCAGAUUCUGCAAAUGGUCUCAUGACUUCUUUAUAUACUAUCCGAACAUUCAUUGUGGAUGAAAGCCCUCUCAGAAGAUUGAGGACCCGCGUAAAUAUUACAAUAUCUCCAGGAAAUGCAUCUAUAGGGUCAAAGCGUUUAACUUCUUUUUCUUUGAGCUUCAUCUUUUCCUGUAUCACCUUCAUUUGCUUUGAUCUUUGCUCGGCCAAGGAUUGCAUGGUUUCAAAAGCUUCAUUUGCUAGAGUUGAAGUACUAAAAAAUGCAUUGGUUACUUCCAUAGUCUGAUCUGGAAUAUCCAGGCGCAGCCUGAGCCCAAUUUCUGCAAGGGCAGACAAAAGGGCCACAUGGUCCCCCUCCACAGAUGCAAGAAACAUUUUGGCUAGUGCUUGUUUAAUAGAAGUUGAUAUUUUCUUCGUAAGCCCAAAGUCGAGUAGAACUGGACGAUGUGGUGGUUCCUUGCUCACCAGGAAAUUUCCAGGAUGUGGGUCACCAUUAAAAAAUCCAUCAAUAUAUAUUUGAUGGGCAUAUGCACGUGUUAUUUCUUCAACAACUGCUUGCUUGUCAACACCAUAAGCUUCAAGAGAUUCAUGGUCAUUCAAACGAAUCCCAUCCAUAUACUCUAAAACUAGAACCUUUUCACUUGACUGACAUUAGAAGCAACACAACAAAAAUUAAGACAAGUGGGAUUAUUAGGCAAACAUUCUUCAGUUCAAGAAGAACAAAAUGAAAUACCAAGCAAAAUAAUGGGAAUAAUGGUUAACAUAUUUUUUUUGGUUGGAUGUGGGGAGAAGAAAGAUGUCUUCUUGGAAUUGCAUCAUAAAAUUUGAUAUGGUAAGAUCAAAUCAAAAAUUAAAUCCUAAGAAUUUUUCUAAUACUACCCUGUGAGUAUGCAACGUCUCCACUUCAGCAGGCACAUUUAUCACAAUAAAAUGUUAAAAGGAGAAAACUACCUGAAUAAGCUCUGGAAUCAGAACAUCCACUGGAAUUGCAGGCUUGUUUGGAUUUGCAGGCUUGUUAUUGUCAUUGUUUUUUCUGCAGCCAAGAUUCCUAGCUACAGUUCUAGUAUUCUCUACAAAUACAAAGAGAAAUGUCAGUACAAAGAUAAUAGGAAAAAAUAAAUUAAAAAAGUUGAGCUAUUCACUAAGGUGUUUGAAGGCAAUUGAAAGAGGAACUUAGGGCCCUCUCCUAUAUGUGGAAAGUUUUAUAAAGAGUAGAAUGAAAGGCUCAGGUCCAUUAUCAACAAAAGGAGUUUCAGAGUCAAUGCCACAGAACCUGACAUGCAAGAAAGUUGAUGGCUAUUAUACCAUGGUUAACCAUCACUCUCAUCCCCAUAUUCUCUAAACCCACCACUGGGGCAUUGCUACUGAGCUGCUGAUUUCAUUCCAUUCUAGCAGUACUGCAGUAGCACCCAAUAUUGUUAAAAGCAAGAAAAGGCGCCAGGCAAGGCGAGGCGACCCUCUAGCGCCUUGCCUGGCUUCGAAGAGGCGGCCGGCCCAGCAACAAAGGCCUAUGAAGCACGGAAACGGCACUGAGUCACGUUUCCUAGUGUUGGAAACGUUUCCGACGAGGAAACGAACUGACACGGCUAGGAAACGUUUCCGGGCCGUUUCCAAAAAUAUUGGAAAUCGGAAAUGCGUUUCUUUAAAGAAAAAUUUUAAAAAAAAAGGUAGGUUAAAAUCGAUCACUUCA